rnacentral:rRNA from 1 species
AUUGAACGCUGGCGGCAUGCUUUACACAUGCAAGUCGAACGGUAACAGGCCGCAAGGUGCUGACGAGUGGCGAACGGGUGAGUAAUGCAUCGGAACGUGCCCAGUCGUGGGGGAUAACGCAGCGAAAGUUGCGCUAAUACCGCAUACGAUCUAUGGAUGAAAGCGGGGGACCGUAAGGCCUCGCGCGAUUGGAGCGGCCGAUGUCAGAUUAGGUAGUUGGUGGGGUAAAGGCUCACCAAGCCGACGAUCUGUAGCUGGUCUGAGAGGACGACCCGCCACACUGGGACUGGGACACGGCCCAGACUCCUACGGGAGGCAGCAGUGGGGAAUUUUGGACAAUGGGCGCAAGCCUGAUCCAGCAAUGCCGCGUGCAGGAAGAAGGCCUUCGGGUUGUAAACUGCUUUUGUACGGAACGAAACGGUCCUGGUUAAUACCCGGGGCUAAUGACGGUACCGUAAGAAUAAGCACCGGCUAACUACGUGCCAGCCGCCGCCGUAAGAC